GACGAACGCUGGCGGCGUGCCUAACACAUGCAAGUCGAACGAAGCGGCUCAAAGUUUUCGGACGGAGAGUUGACUGAGUGGCGGACGGGUGAGUAACGCGUGGGUAACCUGCCUCAUACAGGGGGAUAACAGUUAGAAAUGACUGCUAAUACCGCAUAAGCGCACAGUACCGCAUGGUACCGUGUGAAAAGCCGAGACGGUAUGAGAUGGACCCGCGUCUGAUUAGCUAGAUGGCGGGGUAACGGCCACCAUGGCGACGAUCAGUAGCCGGUCUGAGAGGAUGAACGGCCACAUUGGGACUGAGAUACGGCCAGACUCCUACGGGAGGCAGCAGUGGGGAAUAUU
rnacentral:rRNA from 1 species